rnacentral:rRNA from 1 species
ACGGGAGGCAGCAGUGGGGAAUAUUGGACAAUGGGGGAAACCCUGAUCCAGCGACGCCGCGUGAGUGAAGAAGUAUUUCGGUAUGUAAAGCUCUAUCAGCAGGGAAGAUAAUGACGGUACCUGACUAAGAAGCUCCGGCUAAAUACGUGCCAGCAGCCGCGGUAAUACGUAUGGAGCAAGCGUUAUCCGGAUUUACUGGGUGUAAAGGGAGCGUAGACGGCGAAACAAGUCUGAAGUGAAAUCCCGGGGCUCAACCCCGGAACUGCUUUGGAAACUGUUUUGCUAGAGUGCAGGAGAGGUAAGCGGAAUUCCUAGUGUAGGGGUGGAAUGCGUAGAUAUCGGGAAGAACACCAGUGGCGAAGGCGGCUUACUGGACCACAACUGACGCUGAGACACGAAAGCGUGGGGAGCAAACAGGAUUAGAUACCCUGGUA